rnacentral:rRNA from 1 species
AAUGCUUGGGAACUUGCCUUUGCGAGGGGGAUAACAGUUGGAAACGACUGCUAAUACCGCAUAAUGUCUACGGACCAAACGGGGCUUAGGCUUCGGCGCAGAGAGAGGCCCAAGUGAGAUUAGCUAGUUGGUGGGGUAAAGGCUCACCAAGGCGACGAUCUCUAGCUGUUCUGAGAGGAAGAUCAGCCACACUGGGACUGAGACACGGCCCAGACUCCUACGGGAGGCAGCAGUGGGGAAUAUUGCACAAUGGGGGGAACCCUGAUGCAGCCAUGCCGCGUGUGUGAAGAAGGCCUUCGGGUUGUAAAGCACUUUCAGUUGUGAGGAAAAGUGAGUAGUUAAUACCUGCUCACCGUGACGUUAACAACAGAAGAAGCACCGGCUAACUCCGUGCCAGCAGCCGCGGUAAUACGGAGGGUGCGAGCGUUAAUCGGAAUUACUGGGCGUAAAGCGCACGCAGGCGGUUUGUUAAGCUAGAUGUGAAAGCCCCGAGCUCAACUUGGGAUGGUCAUUUAGAACUGGCAGACUAGAGUCUUGGAGAGGGGAGUGGAAUUCCAGGUGUAGCGGUGAAAUGCGUAGAUAUCUGGAGGAACAUCAGUGGCGAAGGCGACUCCCUGGCCAAAGACUGACGCUCAUGUGCGAAAGUGUGGGUAGCGAACAGGAUUAGAUACCCUGGUAGUCCACACCGUAAACGCUGUCUACUAGCUGUUUGUGGCUUUAAGCCGUGAGUAGCGAAGCUAACGCGAUAAGUAGACCGCCUGGGGAGUACGGCCGCAAGG